rnacentral:rRNA from 1 species
AAAUUGAAGAGUUUGAUCAUGGCUCAGAUUGAACGCUGGCGGCAGGCCUAACACAUGCAAGUCGAACGGUAACAGGAAGCAGCUUGCUGCUUCGCUGACGAGUGGCGGACGGGUGAGUAAUGUCUGGGAAACUGCCUGAUGGAGGGGGAUAACUACUGGAAACGGUGGCUAAUACCGCAUAACGUCGCAAGACCAAAGAGGGGGACCUUCGGGCCUCUUGCCAUCAGAUGUGCCCAGAUGGGAUUAGCUGGUUGGUGAGGUAACGGCUCACCAAGGCGACGAUCCCUAGCUGGUCUGAGAGGAUGACCAGCCACACUGGAACUGAGACACGGUCCAGACUCCUACGGGAGGCAGCAGUGGGGAAUAUUGCACAAUGGGCGCAAGCCUGAUGCAGCCAUGCCGCGUGUAUGAAGAAGGCCUUCGGGUUGUAAAGUACUUUCAGCGGGGAGGAAGGUGUUGUGGUUAAUAACUGCAGCAAUUGACGUUACCCGCAGAAGAAGCACCGG